AAAUGCCAAGAAGGGGAGGUUGACCACAACAGCGCGGUGCUUAGUUGCUCUUGCCCCCGCAGGGUGGCGUCGCGGUGCCCGGCGCUUUCCGAAAGCCAGUUGCGCAGUUGUAGCGCUGCUGACAGCACGUAUCUGUGUGUUAUGAAGAGUUUGCCGGCUCGUGUUACUCUGGGAAGUCCGCGUGUCUCGCCGUAUGGAUACUCCGUGCACCUCGGGUUGGGUAUUUGCCGUACAUUAGAAGAAUGUGUGGUGUGUCCUUUUUUUAAGUGUGACGCUUUGGACCCACGGCUCUAGCGUAUAUACAAGCUGCUGUUUUUCGAGGAGGGCGUGUCACAACACACUAGUAAGCAACGAUCCAGAAUUGCUUAGAUUUAGAGAUCAUCCAUCCAGUUGCCCAUCUACGUUCAGUAUUUGUGAUGAUAUGCGAAGUUCACCGGCUCCAGGGAGACGGAUGUCAACGAUGGUGCACUGCCAGGAAAGGCAGAACGGAAAGACAAGUGCCGCUCCUUUGUGGCGUGACCCUAUACCAUGCAUCUGCUCUUCAUGUGACCAUCUUUCACGGCUGUGAGCGGAUUUUUAAGCAAAAUACACACACAU